rnacentral:rRNA from 1 species
UACGAAGGGGACUAGCGUUGUUCGGAAUUACUGGGCGUAAAGCGCACGUAGGCGGAUUUGUUAGUCAGGGGUGAAAUCCCGGGGCUCAACCUCGGAACUGCCUUUGAUACUGCAAAUUCGAGUCGCAUAGAGGUGGGUGGAAUUCCUAGUGUAGAGGUGAAAUUCGUAGAUAUUAGGAAGAACACCGGUGGCGAAGGCGGCUCACUGGCCCGGUACUGACGCUGAGGUGCGAAAGCGUGGGGAGCAAACAGG